rnacentral:lncRNA from 1 species
AUCUUAUCUUCUUUGGAAUUUAUUCACUUCAGCCCUUGUACUUGAUGAUAAUCACAUAUUUAUGGCUGGAGUUUCAGAUCCACUACAUGACAACUAGAAUUCAUUACUAAACCAUACGGAUUAGUACCCUAGAUUCCUUAAACUGUGGUUCAAUCAACGCUUUUAGUUUUAAUUUGACUUUCAAGUCCUCAGACUUGGUUUGUUCUCCUGUUUAGUAUAUGUACUUGUUGCAAUGUGACCGAAAAAAAAUGUAACAUGUUCAAUAUGUUUGCCUCAUGCAAUCCCUAUAACAUGUUACGGUGUACAACAACUUCAUUUCAGCAAUUGAAAUAU